rnacentral:rRNA from 1 species
GUCUAUGGCCAUGCUACCCUAAACAAGCCCGAUCCUGUCUGAUCUCAGAAGCUAAGCAGGGUUGGGCGUGGUUAGUACUUGGAUAGGAGACCAUCUAGGAAGACCAGAUACUGUAGGCG